rnacentral:lncRNA from 1 species
GUUCAUUGCAUAGCAGGGUGAGUUAUUGUGGACAACAGGAUUGAUGGGUUUUUGGGAAUCGUAGGGUUGGGUAACGGGUCGAGUUGACCGGCUAACUCAAUCAAAUCGACCCCGUUGUUGAAAUGGAACGGUUCGAUACUUCAAUUUAGAGGUAACCAUAGGUUUACAGUCUCACAUGCAUACCCAACAAACCCAUAAAAAAUCACAACACAAAAUCAUAUAGAUUCGGUUAGGCGAUAUGUCGAGUCAGACCAUUUAGCAUGAUUGAGUCGACCUAGGUAGACUCUUAACGACCGUCUCACAUGCAUACACAAAAAACCCACAAAAAAUUACGACACAAAACCAAACCAAAGGUUGGUGAACCUAAGCAAAGCUUAGAGCCCUGAUAUAAAAGUGACGAAAUCCUAUAUAAAAUGUUCCAAAUUGAAAACUUUUGUCCUGUGGGUUUUCAAACUUUGCCUAGUAUGCUUUCAAUUACUCCAAACUUGUUCGGUGUCUUAAAUCAUUUUGAUUCUGUUAUUGAAUUCAUCGAGUAAUUAUGUCGAAUCACAGAUAAUGAAUCGAAGGUAACCAAGCUGGACCAUUUCGCAAAGCAAAACAGGCAAUAUGAUCACUGUAAUUACCUGUAUAUCCCCUUCGCUGAAUGCCCUUCUCAUCCCAUAAGCGAAGGUGAAAUCCAGCCCUGCAGGGAAGUCAAGAAAGCUCGAACCACCAUCUGAGAUCCAGUCCAUGGAGCUCAAGCAUCCCGAGCUACUGCUCUUCGCCAGGAUCGUCAGAUCGUGAUUAUCCCGAUCCUCUUCUUUGCUCAUCAGUGGGAUGUUGUUGAUCACAUCGUCCGAAUUAAGAGUAGC